GACGAACGCUGGCGGCGUGCUUAACACAUGCAAGUCGAACGGAAAGGCCCUGCUUUUGUGGGGUGCUCGAGUGGCGAACGGGUGAGUAACACGUGAGUAACCUGCCCUUGCCUUUGGGAUAACUUCAGGCAACUUGGGCUAAUACCGGAUAGGAGCUCCUGCUGCAUGGUGGGGGUUGGAAAGUUUCGGCGGUUGGGGAUGUACUCGCGGCUGAUCAGCUUGUUGGUGGGGUAGUGGCUUACCAAGGCUUUGACAGGUAGCCGGCCUGAGCGGGUGACCGGCCACAUUGGGACUGAGAUACGGCCCAGACUACUACGGGAGGCAGCAGUGGGGAAUAUUGCACAAUGGGAGGAAGCCUGAUGCAGCAACGCCGCGUGCGGGAUGACGGCAUUCGGGUUGUAAACCGAUUUCGCCUGUGACGAAGCGUGAGUGACGGUAAUGGGUAAAGAAGCACCGGCUAACUACGUG
rnacentral:rRNA from 1 species